UACGUAGGGCGCGAGCGUUGUCCGGAAUUAUUGGGCGUAAAGGGCUUGUAGGCGGUUGGCCGCGUCUGCCGUGAAAUCCUCUGGCUUAACUGGGGGCGUGCGGUGGGUACGGGCUGGCUUGAGUGCGGUAGGGGAGACUGGAAUUCCUGGUGUAGCGGUGGAAUGCGCAGAUAUCAGGAGGAACACCGGUGGCGAAGGCGGGUCUCUGGGCCGUUACUGACGCUGAGGAGCGAAAGCGUGGGGAGCGAACAGGAUUAGAUACCCGGGUAGUCC
rnacentral:rRNA from 1 species